rnacentral:rRNA from 1 species
CGGGGUGGAGUAAUGUCUGGGAGACUGCCUGAUGGAGGGGGGUAACUACUGGAAACGGUAGCUAAUACCGCAUAACGUCGCAAGACCAAAGAGGGGGACCUUCGGGCCUCUUGCCAUCGGAUGUGCCCAGAUGGGAUUAGCUAGUAGGUGGGGUAACGGCUCACCUAGGCGACGAUCCCUAGCUGGUCUGAGAGGAUGACCAGCCACACUGGAACUGAGACACGGUCCAG